rnacentral:rRNA from 1 species
GACGUAGGGGGCCAGCGUUGUUCGGAAUUACUGGGUGUAAAGGGUUCGUAGGCGGUGCGGCAAGUUGGGAGUGAAAUCUCUGGGCUUAACCCAGAGGCUGCUUCCGAAACUGCUGUGCUUGAGUGUGGGAGAGGCGCGUGGAAUUGCAGGUGUAGCGGUGAAAUGCGUAGAUAUCUGCAGGAACACCCGUGGCGAAAGCGGCGCGCUGGACCAGCACUGACGCUCAUGCACGAAAGCGUAGGGAGCAAACAGG